rnacentral:rRNA from 1 species
UGGGGAAUAUUGGACAAUGGGCGGAAGCCUGAUCCAGCCAUGCCGCGUGUGUGAAGAAGGCCUUUUGGUUGUAAAGCACUUUAAGCGAGGAGGAGGCUACUUGGAUUAAUACUCUAGGAUAGUGGACGUUACUCGCAGAAUAAGCACCGGCUAACUCUGUGCCAGCAGCCGCGGUAAUACAGAGGGUGCGAGCGUUAAUCGGAUUUACUGGGCGUAAAGCGUGCGUAGGCGGCUUCUUAAGUCGGAUGUGAAAUCCCUGAGCUUAACUUAGGAAUUGCUUUCGAUACUGGGAAGCUAGAGUAUGGGAGAGGAUGGUAGAAUUCCAGGUGUAGCGGUGAAAUGCGUAGAGAUCUGGAGGAAUACCGAUGGCGAAGGCAGCCAUCUGGCCUAAUACUGACGCUGAGGUACGAAAGCAUGGGGAGCAAACAGG